rnacentral:lncRNA from 1 species
GCCAGUCUCAUUCCCACCAUGCCCCACAAAGAGCACUGACUCUAUUACCAGGCAGCCAGUGAUCAGGGCUGAGAACUAGCCCCAGACCACCAGCCUCUCCACUGAGAAAGCAAACAGACUCACAGUUUUCAGCAUCUCAGGGAGCCUGCAGCGGCAAUCCAGUUCCUUCAAAUGGCCUGUGGUUUAUCUCAGCUUUCCUGGUAUCAUCCUGCAGAAGUUCUUAGAGCAAAAGUUCACCAUGUCAUAGGAAAUGAAACAGACUGCUGUUUUCAUGAGAAGCAUUUACAGAGGGAAAUAAGGACACUCACCAAAUAGGGCUAAUUUGAAGAAGGACACAGCUGACUUAGUAGGAAGAAGGCAGAAGAAUUAUCUCCUGGUAAUCAAGACUCUGAAAAUAAGACUUAAGAUAAAAGACUGGAUACAUGCAAGAACAGAGUUCUUAAAGAUCACCAGCUGAAGAUUGUGAUUUUUCAUUCUUCUAUGCCCUAAGACAGCCAUAUUUUACCAUUUGAAACAUAAAUAAAAAUGACUUCCAGGCUUAUUUGAUUACAGACUGAAUUGCUCUAUCAUAGGAUGACAAGCAAUGACAGAUAGGUUCCCCAUAAAGAAAAGUCUGUGAGACUCCAUAUUUCCUGUAAAAGAUGAUAUGAGGAAACCGGGCAGAUUUUUCUUUCAUUCAUACUCUUUUAUAUGGGGGCAAUAGUACUGUCAAUCUCUAUUAUAUCAUUAGGUUACCUGGAAGGUCUUAUGUUUGGCAGUGGAAUGUAAGUUUUAGGGUAAUUUUUCUGAGUGGCAACCCAAGGCCAAUGUAGUAAAUUUUGAAAGAUCAAUUAAAUUACAGAAAAGGCUUGCAUAACAUAAAUGUGUUCUGCCCACUUGUCAACAUGGGUAAAGAUAUUAAUAUUGUAACAAGUGCAAUGACAGAAUUUCAUUUUCAGACUCCAGACUUCUUAACAGUAGCAGUGGCAAGGCAUCAAACCAGUGAGUUUUGCUUCUU